GAUGAACGCUGGCGGCGUGCCUAAUACAUGCAAGUCGAGCGAACAGACGAGGAGCUUGCUCCUUUGACGUUAGCGGCGGACGGGUGAGUAACACGUAGGUAACCUACCUAUAAGACUGGGAUAACUUCGGGAAACCGGAGCUACUACCGGAUAAUACUUCGACCCGCAUGGUUCGAUAGUGAAAGAUGGCUUUGCUAUCACUUAUCGAUGGACCUGCGCCGUAUUAGCUAGUUGGUAAGGUAACGGCUUACCAAGGCAGCGAUACGUAGCCGACCUGGGAGGGUGAAGGACCACACUGGGACUGAGACACGGUCCAGACUCCGAGGGGAGGCAGCGGUAGGGAAGCUUCCGCGAUGUGCGGAAGCCUGACGGAUCAACGGCGCGUGAGUGAUGAAGGUCUUCGGGUCGGAAGACGCUGUUAGGAGGGAAGAACAAACGUGUAAGUAACUGAGCACGGCGUGACGGUACCUAAUCAGAAAGCCACGGCUAACUACGUG
rnacentral:rRNA from 1 species